rnacentral:rRNA from 1 species
GACGAACGCUGGCGGCGUGCCUAACACAUGCAAGUCGAGCGGUAAGGCCCUUUCGGGGGUACACGAGCGGCGAACGGGUGAGUAACACGUGGGUGACCUGCCCUCAGCUCUGGGAUAAGCCUGGGAAACCGGGUCUAAUACCGGAUAUGACCUCAUGACGCAUGUUGUGGGGUGGAAAGCCUUGUGCGGCUGAGGAUGGGCCCGCGGCCUAUCAGCUUGUUGGUGGGGUGAUGGCCUACCAAGGCGACGACGGGUAGCCGGCCUGAGAGGGCGACCGGCCACACUGGGACUGAGACACGGCCCAGACUCCUACGGGAGGCAGCAGUGGGGAAUUUUGGACAAUGGCGCAAGCCUGAUCCAGCCAUGCCGCGUGCGGGAAGAAGGCCUCGGUUGUAACG